rnacentral:tRNA from 1 species
GCGGGCGUAGCUCAGUGGUAGAGCAUCUCCUUGCCAAGGAGAGGGUCGCGGGUUCGAAUCUCGUCGCCCGCUCCA